rnacentral:rRNA from 1 species
AGGACGAACGCUGGCGGCGUGCUUAACACAUGCAAGUCAAGGGGGCCCAGUAGCAAUACUGGGCAACCGGCGAACGGGUGCGUAACACGUGAGCAACCUACCGAAAUGUGGGGGAUAGCCGGCCUAACGGCCGAGUAAUACCGCAUACGCUCUCGAUGAGGCAUUUCAUUGAGAGGAAACCUACGGGACAUUUCGAGGGGCUCGCGGCCUAUCAGCUAGUUGGCGAGGUAACGGCUCACCAAGGCAACGACGGGUAGCUGGUCUGAGAGGAUGGCCAGCCACAUUGGGACUGAGAUACGGCCAGACUCCUACGGGAGGCAGCGAGUGGGGAAUCUUGCGCAAUGGCCUAACGGCUGACGCAGGCGACGCCGCGUGUAGGAU